AUUAGGUUGGGUUAGGUUGGGUUAUGUAGUGUUUGGAUUAUGUAGUGUUUGGAUUAGGUUGGGUUAGGUUGGGUUAUGUAGUGUUUGGAUUAUGUAGUGUUUGGGUUAGGUUGGAUUAUGUAGUGUUUGGGUUAGUUUGGAUUAUGUAGUGUUUGGAUUAUGUAGUGUUUGGAUUAUGUAGUGUUUGGAUUAUGUAGUGUUUGGAUUAUGUAGUGUUUGGGUUAGGUUGGAUUAUGUAGUGUUUGGGUUAGGUUGGGUUAUGUAGUGUUUGGAUUAUGUAGUGUUUGGAUUAUGUAGUGUUUGGGUUAGGUUGGGUUAUGUAGUGUUUGGAUUAUGUUGGGUUAUGUAGUGUUUGGAUUAGGUUGGGUUAGGUUGGGUUAUGUAGUGUUUGGAU